CGAACGGCAGCACGGGGGCAACCCUGGUGGCGAGUGGCGAACGGGUGAGUAAUACAUCGGAACGUGCCCAAUCGUGGGGGAUAACGCAGCGAAAGCUGUGCUAAUACCGCAUACGAUCUACGGAUGAAAGCAGGGGAUCGCAAGACCUUGCGCGAAUGGAGCGGCCGAUGGCAGAUUAGGUAGUUGGUGAGGUAAAGGCUCACCAAGCCUUCGAUCUGUAGCUGGUCUGAGAGGACGACCAGCCACACUGGGACUGAGACACGGCCCAGACUCCUACGGGAGGCAGCAGUGGGGAAUUUUGGACAAUGGGCGCAAGCCUGAUCCAGCCAUGCCGCGUGCAGGAUGAAGGCCUUCGGGUUGUAAACUGCUUUUGUACGGAACGAAACGGCUCUUUCUAAUAAAGAGGGCUAAUGACGGUACCGUAAGAAUAAGCACCGGCUAACUACGUGCCAGCAGCCGCGGUAAUACGUAGGGUGCAAGCGUUAAUCGGAAUUACUGGGCGUAAAGCGUGCGCAGGCGGUGAUGUAAGACAGUUGUGAAAUCCCCGGGCUCAACCUGGGAACUGCAUCUGUGACUGCAUCGCUGGAGUACGGCAGAGGGGGAUGGAAUUCCGCGUGUAGCAGUGAAAUGCGUAGAUAUCGUGAGGAACACCAGAGGCGAAGGCGGUUACCUGGACAAUUACUGACGCUCAGGCACGAAAGCGUGGGGAGCAAAAGGGAUUAGAUACCCCUGUAGUCCACGCCCUAAACGGUGCACACUAGGUCUUGGCGGAUUUGACCCCACCAGGGCCCAAGCUAACGCGUUAAGUGUGCCGCCUGAGGACUACGGUCGCAAGACUAAAACUCAAAGGAAUUGACGG
rnacentral:rRNA from 15 species